rnacentral:rRNA from 1 species
UAAUAGACUACCCUGGUAGUCCACGCCCUAAACGAUGUCUACUAGUUGUUGGUGGAGUAAAAUCCAUUAGUAACGCAGCUAACGCGUGAAGUAGACCGCCUGGGGGAGUACGGUCGCAAGAUUAAAACUCAAAGGAAUUGACGGGGGCCCGGCACAAGCGGUGGAUUAUGUGGAUUAAUUCGAUGCAACGCGAAAAACCUUACCUGGCCUUGACAUGCCACUAACGAAGCAGAGAUGCAUUAGGUGCCCGAAAGGGAAAGUGGACACAGGUGCUGCAUGGCUGUCGUCAGCUCGUGUCGUGAGAUGUUGGGUUAAGUCCCGCAACGAGCGCAACCCUUGCCAAUAAUUGCCAUCAUUCAGUUGGGCACUUUAUUGGGACUGCCGGUGACAAACCGGAGGAAGGUGGGGAUGACGUCAAGUCCUCAUGGCCCUUAUGGCCAGGGCUUCACACGUAAUACAAUGGUCGGUACAGAGGGUAGCCAAGCCGCGAGGUGGAGCCAAUCCCAGAAACGCCGAUCGUAGUCCGGAUUGCAGU